rnacentral:sRNA from 1 species
AAGCGCAGAAACUAUUUCCCGCAGCUGC